GCGCCGGUGGUGUAAGGCGAACAUCGCUGCCCGGAAAGCAGAACAUGCGCGUUCGAGUCCCGCCUGGCGCA
rfam:Heligmosomoides polygyrus genome assembly, scaffold: HPBE_scaffold0003071